rnacentral:rRNA from 1 species
AGAGUUUGAUCCUGGCUCAGGAUGAACGCUGGCGGCGUGCUUAACACAUGCAAGUCGAACGAAGCACUUUAUUUGAUUUCCUUCGGGACUGAUUAUUUUGUGACUGAGUGGCGGACGGGUGAGUAACGCGUGGGUAACCUGCCUUGUACAGGGGGAUAACAGUUGGAAACGGCUGCUAAUACCGCAUAAGCGCACAGCAUCACAUGAUGCAGUGUGAAAAACUCCGGUGGUAUAAGAUGGACCCGCGUUGGAUUAGCUAGUUGGUGAGGUAACGGCCCACCAAGGCGACGAUCCAUAGCCGACCUGAGAGGGUGACCGGCCACAUUGGGACUGAGACACGGCCCAAACUCCUACGGGAGGCAGCAGUGGGGAAUAUUGCACAAUGGGCGAAAGCCUGAUGCAGCGACGCCGCGUGAGCGAAGAAGUAUUUCGGUAUGUAAAGCUCUAUCAGCAGGGAAGAUAAUGACGGUACCUGACUAAGAAGCACCGGCUAAAUACGUGCCAGCAGCCGCGGUAAUACGUAUGGUGCAAGCGUUAUCCGGAUUUACUGGGUGUAAAGGGAGCGCAGGCGGUGCGGCAAGUCUGAUGUGAAAGCCCGGGGCUCAACCCCGGUACUGCAUUGGAAACUGUCGUACUAGAGUGUCGGAGGGGUAAGCGGAAUUCCUAGUGUAGCGGUGAAAUGCGUAGAUAUUAGGAGGAACACCAGUGGCGAAGGCGGCUUACUGGACGAUAACUGACGCUGAGGCUCGAAAGCGUGGGGAGCAAACAGGAUUAGAUACCCUGGUAGUCCGCACGGUAAACGAUGGAUGCCCGCUGUUGGUCUGAACAGGUCAGCGGCCAAGCGAAAGCAUUAAGCAUCCCACCUGGGGAGUACGCCGGCAACGGUGAAACUCAAAGGAAUUGACGGGGGCCCGCACAAGCGGAGGAACAUGUGGUUUAAUUCGAUGAUACGCGAGGAACCUUACCCGGGCUUGAAUUGCAGAGGAAGGAUUUGGAGACAAUGACGCCCUUCGGGGUCUCUGUGAAGGUGCUGCAUGGUUGUCGUCAGCUCGUGCCGUGAGGUGUCGGCUUAAGUGCCAUAACGAGCGCAACCCCUCUCCUUAGUUGCCAUCAGGUUAAGCUGGGCACUCUGGGGACACUGCCACCGUAAGGUGUGAGGAAGGUGGGGAUGACGUCAAAUCAGCACGGCCCUUACGUCCGGGGCUACACACGUGUUACAAUGGCAGGUACAGAGAGACGGUCCCUUGCAAAACGGAUCAAAUCCUUAAAGCCUGUCUCAGUUCGGACUGGGGUCUGCAACCCGACCCCACGAAGCUGGAUUCGCUAGUAAUCGCGCAUCAGCCAUGGCGCGGUGAAUACGUUCCCGGGCCUUGUACACACCGCCCGUCAAGCCAUGAAAGCCGGGGGCGCCUAAAGUCCGUGACCGUAAGGAGCGGCCUAGGGCGAAACUGGUAAUUGGGGCUAAGUCGUAACAAGGUA